UUUCCUUCCUACUCUCCUAAUCCCCUUUCUCUUCAAUCUGGUUGAAGAAGAGAGGAGACUUCAAUCAACUCCGACCAUUUUACCCGGCGUUAACUCGCCCUCUUCAUUCCGAGCACACUUCACUCAACUCCAGCGUCACAUUUUGAGUGUUGGCUUCACCCAGUGCAGUACAAGACACGCUUGUGCAAGUGGGGGAAGAUCAGAAGACAGAUCAGUCCAAGUUUAACGUGAAGAGCCUCUUCUGGCAUGGCGGCUCCUUUUAUGACGCCUGGUUCAGUUGCGCUUCGAAUCAAGUAGCUCAGGUGCUGUUAACGCUGCCAUACUCGUUCUCUCAGCUGGGAAUGCUCUCAGGCAUAUUCCAGAUAAUCUACGGCCUCGUCGGUAACUGGACUGCUUAUCUCAUCAGCGUCCUAUACAUUGAGUACCGAAGUAGAAAGGAGAAGGUGAACGUGAGCUUUAAGAACCAUGUGAUACAGUGGUUCGAAGUGCUUGACAGAUUACUGGGUCCAUACUGGAAAGCUGUGGGACUUGCCUUCAACUGUACAUUUCUCCUCUUUGGGGUCCGUUAUACAGCUAAUAGCUUGCGCAAACUGAGCUUUUUCUGUUUUCAUUUCUUUUGCAUAGUUCCAAAAGCCCAAGAAAUAACAAGAGCGCUGAUUUGAUUAGCUGAUUUAUGGUGGGUUCGAUGAUGAGAGCAGCAACAUAUAUUACAUAAAUGACCGACUGGAUAAGAGGACAUGGACGUACAUCUUCGGAGUUUGUGCGACGACGGUGUUCAUACCUUCCUUCCACAACUACCGGAUUUGGUAUUUUCUAGGGCUCGGGAUGAUCACUUACACCGCCUAGUAUCUGGCCAAGCCCAGCAACAGCAACUCUUGAAUGAUAUGUCAUGCUUCUCUCAGCCACGUCUUAGUUCAUCCACUGUUAACUGAUCUGUUCGUUCCAAGACCCUAACCCCUUCAAACCUUGAGGAUCACUUUACUGUUGAAAUCUCCUUGUCGCCCCGGUAUUCAGAUCAGGCAGCGUCAGUGGUCUUUUCCCCAUCUCACAAAUCAGCGGUUCUCAACCAGUUCCAGCAACAACAGAGCAUGCUAUCGCCGAUCAACAAGAACGUUUUUUCCC